rfam:Zea mays cultivar B73 chromosome 4, whole genome shotgun sequence.
GUGCUUGCAGGUGCAGCACCACCAAGAUUCACAUCCAACUCUCACGCAUCUUCAGUGAUGCAUGCAUGCUCUGUGAUGUCUCGCAGCAGCUAUAUGCAUAUGUGAUGAGAUGAGAAUCUUGAUGAUGCUGCAUCAGCAGACAC